GCAGAAAAGAUGAGUUUGCUCAUGGCUCGAAUGUACUGAGAGCCAUCCAUGGAAGUGAGUUUGAGGCUGCUCAUGGGUAGCAGGGCUCUGUUAGUGUAAUAUCUGAGGAAUGGAGUCUGGGCUUCGAUUGCCUCCAUAUACACCUAACAAUAGAGACAAGAACAUGUUAAAACGGUCACGGUAAUAUGUGUAGUAUAGAAUACUGAAACAAUAUUUUCAACAUAGAUAGAUACAGUAUAUAGAUAUAGACAUAUCUGAAUAUCAACAUUUGUAUGUAGAUAGAUAGUAGAUAGAUUAAUAAGAAUAAAAUCAAAAGUCAUUUAUAUAUUCCGUAGUUUCAGACUAAUAAGAACAUACCACUUUUCUUUACAAUUCUUCUAGGGGUCUAAUUUGAUCUUUUUACUUAAAAGUAAAAACAAUAUUAAAAUCAGUUCUAAAAACACAAAUCCCUUAUUAACAAAAAAUAACAAAAUAUUCAACAUUACACAAUGUCACAGAUCACAGAGACACAAAAUUAGAUCAGUUAACCUCAAAACUGUUUCGACUGACUAAAUCUCACAAAUGUCGAUAAUCAAAAUGAAGAAGACCAUAGCCAUUCAUUAAAUGUGCUGUUAUAGUGAAAAUGACCUCAGAGAAGUAAAAAAAAAAAAAUUUACAUUAAUAUAUUACUGUAAUAUUAAUAUUAUUGUUGUGUUGUUCAUUGUUUUGCUAGGCCGAUUGUUUGUUUUUAACAGAAACUUUAAGAUUCAUUUAUAAAAAAAAAAAAAUCAAUAUUAAGUUAUAAAAUAAUUAAACCGGUCAUAUUUCAUAUCUGCUUCUUUAUUUGGCUCUGAAUCAGACGUUCUCUCUUUCACUCUCACUCAGAGGCUGGCGGCUGGCUGCAGCACCUGUAUGAUGUCUUCGGUGUCCUGAGCGGCGUUCUGGAACACAGACUGGCAGUGCUGCAGUCCUCCCAUGCUGCCGGUCACAAGGAUUCGUCCGUGUCUCUUUUUCUUCAUGUCUGGUAGGAAGGUCUGUAUGGUGCGGAGGGUGCCCAGCAGAUUGACAUCCAGGAUUGCAUGUAUAUCGUCCAGCUUUUGACGGAUUUGAUGCGAGAUGCACAGCCAGGCUGAGUCCAAUCCCUGAAGAGCAUCCAGUAAUGAGAACAACUUUCUGCUCCAUUUGUGCAAUAAAGCAUCAGUCCGCAACACAAAGGAGACGAGCGCUGCUGCAGUGGUGCUCUGAGGUUGAAGUUAUGUGGUCUGUCUAACUGCUGUGUCUCUGAUUCAAGUGUUUUAUCUUUCUCUGCUAUCACAAGGCCAGCUUGGUGGAAACAUUCUGAUUUCACACUCUUUUUUUUUUUUUCACUCAGCAGGUGCAACUUCAGACUCACACACAGUACAUGUCAGCAGCUGUGCUGAAUAUUAUACUGAAGAAAUGUUCAGUAAAUGAUUUAAAAUGACUUAUAAUGGGGACCGGUCCCUGCCAUGCCUGCAAGACUAUAUUGCUGCCCAACUGAGAAAUUUGAUCUCUCCUGUUCAGCUCAGCUUCGUCAGUGGCUGCUUUCGCUCUUUAAAUACACCAGAGCGCGCACUCCCUCAAACUCUACACACUUCUGGAAGCGUCCAGUGAAUCAGACCAAUCAAAACACAGCAAGCAGCCGCGUGCCGGUGUUACGUCCGCUGUCACUGAAGCAGCUGAGAGGAAGUUUAUGGACGCUUCCAGAAUUUUGCUGUGAAAGUACGAUAAAUACAAUGAACUUUAAAAACAUGUCUUUUCCCUGUCAUGUUUGAAUGCACUCUUACACAAAUUAUAUGAAAUAUGGCUAAGUUUAAAAAAUAUAUAUUUUUAGGCUAUGUGUCUUUGUU